rnacentral:rRNA from 1 species
AGAGAUGUGUGAUGACGCAUAUCAAUAAGCGGAGGAAAAGAAACUAACAAGGAUUCCCUUAGUAACGGCGAGUGAAGCGGGAAGAGCUCAAAUUUGAAAUCUUCAAGGUUCUACCUUGACGAAUUGUAGUUUAUAGAAGUGUUUUCUGUUAGUAGAGUGGCAAAAGUUCUUUGGAAUAGGACAUCAUAGAGGGUGAGAAUCCCGUAUUUGGUCACUCUUUCUAGCUUUGUGAUACACUUUCAACGAGUCGGAUUGUUUGGGAAUGCAGUCCAAAAUGGGUGGUAAAUUUCAUCUAAAGCUAAAUAUUGGCGAGAGACCGAUAGCGAACAAGUACCGUGAGGGAAAGAUGAAAAGAACUUUGAAAAGAGAGUUAAACAGUACGUGAAAUUGUCGAAAGGGAAGCGUUUGACACCAGUGUUGUUUUUCCGAAAAUCAAUUACGAAUGUUUUGUUUUUAGAAGUUAUGACUUCAUCGGCUUGCUUCUCUCUUUACGAAACUUUCUUAAUGCACUUUUCGGUUAACAAGUCAACAUCAAUUUCUUUUGUUGUAAAAGGGUAUGAGGAAGGUGGCUUUCUUUUCGGAGAAAGUGUUUAUAGCCUUGUACCUCUGCAAUCGGAGAGAUUGAGGUCUGCAGCGUAGAUCCUUCGGGGUUAGAUACAUUUGUGCUAAGUUAUAGCUUUUCAUAGACAACUUGUUGACUAUGUUUAGUCUUGUAGCUUACUCGCUGAUGCUAUUUUACCUACGCUUAGGAUGUUGAUCUGUAGUGCGUGCGC